CUGCCCACGGACGUCUUCUUCCUCUUCCGCCUUUGGUAACCGAGGAGUCAGUCUAGCGUUUUUAUUACUCCCAAUACUGUGUGUAACCGAGGAGUCAAUCCAGGACUGCCGCAUCCUUAUCAUCGUGUUUCUGCUCCCUCUGUCCAUCUAUGUCGAUCUCUUCGCCUCCUCUGCCUCGUGGCGCACCACACCUUCGCCGUUCGCCGUCUCCCCAGCCCCCACCCCUACGGUGUGCCUUGCGGCAGGCUCAGAUCUUGGAGAUGACCCACCGACGCGAUGCGUCCUGCCCGGAGAAAUCGUCGGUGGUGCCAACUUGUAGCCAUCGUGUGUGUGGAAGGUGGGGGAUUCCAAAAUUGACGAUUUUUCUGUUGUCUUCCAGGAUUCCCGAUCUGAAGUUGGGAAGCCAAAUUUGACAAUUUUCCUGUUGUCUUCCUGGGUUCCAUAGUAUUCACAUCAGUCAGCGGCCAUGCUCUAGAAGAUUUGCUAAUCAAGUUUCGCGUAUCGAAAAUCAAUUUUCUGGAGCGCUCCUUUAUGGGUGUUGGACAGGGUGAAUUAGGAGAAGGCUUUCAUGUCUCCAGGUCUAUCAAAGCUGUGGUGCCAUCUCCGACCUUCUAGCGCCUCCACCACAUCGUCGUAGCGUUUGCUCGAUGCAUCAGGGGCAAACCCCCCGACUUUCUUCCUUCUCCAGAGCCUAAGACCUCGCCGAUGAGCAGGUAUUUAAUCGCUUACAUCGAUCCCCAUUUAUAUUUCUCAAAAUAACCUUACUGUGUUGUUGAUUUUGCUUCGCACAUGUUUGUUUCCGCUCAAGUUACACUACAGGGCGAAAUCUCAAAUCUUAAAUGAUUUGCCGAUUAUUUUUGUCAUGCUUUCUAUAAUUAUAUUCAUAGAUUUUUGUAUUGUUUGCAUCCCCAAUGAUGCAUGCUUAUUGAUUUGUUCUUCUGGAUUUCCUACAUCAGUACAGGAUGCAUAGUUGGUUAUGAUACUAGGAAGGUUGGAGCUCUGAAUUUCAUUUGAUAUGCACUGUAUCCCAACAGGGAAAAAAUAUUAGAUCAGAUUGUCAAUCAGUUUAAGAGGGUUGGAGCUCUGAAUUUCAUUUGACAUGCACUAUAUCCCAACAGGAAAAUAAAAGAUUAGACCAGAUUGUCAAGCAGUUCAAGCGGUUCUUGAGGACUACAUAUUGUAUCUCUUGCUCUAUGUUUUUUGAAGUUUACUUCCAUAUAUCCAAGCAUGCAUAUGCCGUCUCACCAUCAUGUCUCAGCUUUACCAGGAGUUUUUUCUUCUUUAUUUCAGUUUCUUUCAAGAAUCAAGAUUACCUAGCACAAUGCAAGUUAGUAUACAAAUAAUUAUGUUUCAACUCAUGUACGCCUAAAGUGUUGGCUGCAUGUUGUCAUGAAAAUAGUAGCUACAUGGAUUAUAUCAGAUUAAGGUCCAAACAUGUACACACUGCACUCCGGGCAUUCUUUUAUAUUAUCCCCAUAUCAAUAUGAGCUCACACAACAUUGAUGGCCGACAACCUUAUCUUCCCUUGGAUCCACAUAUAACUGGUGGGUGAAAACUUUUAUUCUCUACUCUUGAAUCGAGCUAAUUUUUACCAUUGCAGAAUUUCAGUCACUUACAGGAACGCACUUCAACUUAUCCACCAGAGUUAAUCAGAAGUGCUUGCAUCGCACCAUACUACAAACCAUUUCGUGUCAUUCCAGAAUAAAUUGUAUGUAACACAUUUUGCUCGCCCCUUUUACCCUGUGUAAUUCUGCACAUGUUUGUAUCUCGAGCACAUGAUUUUUGAUGUACAAAUAUUUCACUACAAGUUGGGAUACGCAUUUGCAAACUUAUAUUUUGUUUGCAAACUUACAAGCCUUCUGCAUGGAUCAUGUAUUUCUGUUCAGAGUCCAUUGCCAGCCUUUAAUUCCAUCGACACUGCUACCUUCCAGUACAAAGUCUUCAGGGAAUAACAGAAGGCUUCAGGGAAUAGCAGUGUGAACAAAACGAAGUGCAAUAUUACUAUACAAAAUUGCAGAGAAGCGAGAUGCUCCCUCAAUUCAUCCUUGCUGGUAACUAUGCUAAGCAAAUUAUUCACUUUGGUUUUGCUGAAAGGAGUUUGGCAAAUCCAUGCAAUUAUGCUACUUAUAUGUAAUGUAUAUUGUAAAACUAUACAAUAAUCAAGUACAGUAAAUCAAAGUAUUAUUUCCAGUUC